rnacentral:rRNA from 1 species
CCUACGGGGUGCAGCAGUGGGGAAUAUUGCGCAAUGGGCGAAAGCCUGACGCAGCGACGCCGCGUGAAGGAAGAAGGCUUUCGGGUUGUAAACUUCUUUUGUCAGGGAAGAGUAGAAGACGGUACCUGACGAAUAAGCCACGGCUAACUACGUGCGAGCAGCCGCGGUAAUACGUAGGUGGCAAGCGUUGUCCGGAUUUACUGGGUGUAAAGGGCGUGUAGCCGGGUUGACAAGUCAGAUGUGAAAUCCUGCGGCUUAACCGCAGAACUGCAUUUGAAACUGUUGAUCUUGAGUACUGGAGAGGCAGAUGGAAUUCCUAGUGUAGCGGUGAAAUGCGUAGAUAUUAGGAGGAACACCAGUGGCGAAGGCGGUCUGCUGGACAGCAACUGACGGUGAGGCGCGAAAGCGUGGGGAGCAAACAGGAUUAGAUACCCUUGUAGUC